rnacentral:lncRNA from 1 species
GUUGUCCGGCCCCACCGGCUGGCCGCAAGAGCAGAACUCAGGAAAGAAAAAGGAAAGUAAAUUGAAGGCUUAAGAAAAAGGCCAAUCUGUUGUCAACAGCUCUUAUGGAAAGGGAGAUUAGCAAUGUGAGAGGACGUGGAUGCGGACGUAGACGUGGAAAAAAGUCAAGUUAGGAAUGGAUUCAAGAGCCAGACAAGGUGGGCGCCUGUGAUCCCAGCUACUCGGGAGGCUGAGGCAGGGGAAUGGCGUGAACCCGGGAGGCGGAGUUUGCAGUGAGCCGAGAUCGCGCCACUGCACUCCAGCCUGGGAGACACAGCGAGACUCCGUCUCAAAAAAAAAAAAAAGAAAAGAAAAAGAAAAAGAAAGAGAUUAAUGUGCGCGAUGCAAAAAGAAAGGACACUGGAAGGAUGAGUGUUCAGAAGGCAAUGAGGGAAAUAGCCAAGACCACGAGACAAAGAGGCCAUCGGCCAAGGGCUGCCGCACCUUGGGGAACCAAAUACUGAUCUGAUCAGGCUGGCAGGAGCCGAAGGACGUAAGGAACAGGACAGACCGGGAACCUUCUCAUUAGGCACCCAGGGGCCCAUGGUCACAUUAGAAGUUAAAGGCAGCAGGAUUCUGCUGUAUCUGGAUUCCAAUUUCUCACUGAUGGCUAAGCCACUAGAUGGAGUUACAAAAGGGGAAGAAAAAGAACCCCUCCUCUGGGAAACAGCAGGAGAAGGAGCCCUGCCUGGUGAAAACUUGCUUAUAGACUUCACAGAACCUCCCCGUGCCGGAGGUUAUUGGUUCAUGCUAGUGCUUGUUUGCACCUUUUCAGGGUGUUAUGUCUUGGAUCCACCACAGUCGGCUAACACUGGCAGCUCAGGACAAGUGAACCAGCCAGCAGGACCCAGAUCAUCCAACCUGGCUGAUCCUUAGAUGAGACCGAGUUGCUGCUGAGGACAACAGCCCUGCUCUAGUCACUCUGGAGGCUGACUAGUCUACGCACGGCUGAAACUUGAGGACUUGUCAAGCAAGUAAUGUAGCUAAAAUCUUAAGACUAGUGGUUUUCGUGUACACUAACUGUUUUACUAUUGUUCUGUCGCUGUGCUCAACCUUUUUCCCAGGUAAGGACCUUUUUUGUCCUUGCUGGAUAUGAAUAUGCUGUACAUUGUUUUGUUGUUACCCCCCUUAACCAUGUAGAAGAAACACCUACAGAAGGUGUCCCCACUGUACACAUACUACUUGGUCAGGGAACAGUAUAACUAGAACCCUAUUGCACUAUACUUAUUAUGAGUGUACAGGGACUCGCUUA